UACGUAGGGGGCAAGCGUUGUCCGGAAUCAUUGGGCGUAAAGCGCGUGUAGGCGGUUCGGUAAGUCUGCUGUGAAAGUCCAGGGCUCAACCCUGGGAUGCCGGUGGAUACUGUCGGACUAGAGUACGGAAGAGGCGAGUGGAAUUCCCGGUGUAGCGGUGAAAUGCGCAGAGAUCCGGAAGAACACCGGUGGCGAAGGCGGCCUGCUGGGCAGUUGCUGACACUGAGGCGCGACAGCGUGGGGAGCAAACAGG
rnacentral:rRNA from 1 species